rnacentral:rRNA from 1 species
AACGAACGCUGGCGGCAGGCCUAACACAUGCAAGUCGAGCGCCCGGAUUUAUCCGGGAGCGGCGCACGGGUGAGUAACGCGUGGGAACAUGCCCUGAAGUACGGAACAACCUGGGGAAACCUUGGCUAAUACCGUAUACGCCCUGAGGGGGAAAGAUUUAUCGCUUUGGGAUUGGCCCGCGUUGGAUUAGCUGGUUGGUGUGGUAACGGCGCACCAAGGCGACGAUCCAUAACUGGUCUGAGAGGAUGACCAGUCACACUGGGACUGAGACACGGCCCAGACUCCUACGGGAGGCAGCAGUGGGGAAUAUUGGACAAUGGGCGAAAGCCUGAUCCAGCCAUGCCGCGUGAGUGAAGAAGGCCUUCGGGUUGUAAAGCUCUUUCAGCGGGGACGAUGAUGACGGUACCCGCAGAAGAAGCCCCGGCUAACUUCGUGCCAGCAGCAGCCGCAG